rnacentral:tRNA from 1 species
GGGCGCAUAGCUCAGUUGGUACGAGCGCUGCGUUGACAUCGCAGAGGUCGGCGGUUCGAUCCCGUCUGCGCCCACCA